rnacentral:rRNA from 1 species
UACGUAGGGUGCGAGCGUUAAUCGGAAUUACUGGGCGUAAAGCGUGCGCAGGCGGUUUUAUAAGCCAGAUGUGAAAGCCCCGGGCUCAACCUGGGAAUGGCAUUUGGGACUGUAAGGCUGGAGUAUGGCAGAGGGGACUAGAAUUCCUGGUGUAGCAGUGAAAUGCGUAGAUAUCAGGAGGAAUACCGAUGGCGAAGGCAGGUCCCUGGGCCAAUACUGACGCUCAUGCACGAAAGCGUGGGGAGCGAACAGG